AAUGGUAUCAAAAUUCUAGCAAAUGCAGAUGGGCUUCAAUUGCUACAUACCCUUGAGAAUCGUCCAUUUGACACUUCAAGAGUUGCUUCUAGUUCUAUUGUGAAGGCACCUACACUCAACACAUUUGGUCCUACAACAACUGGCACAAAUGUUGGUGUUGUAGAUCGAGGUCCUCCAACAAUGGGAAUAGUUGGACUGAAUGGAGAGAGCCGGGGUUUGUCUGAUGUGAAACCACCCAGAGUUGUAGAGGAUUCUAUAGAGAAGCCUAAGAUUUGGAAGUUGACUGAAAUCAAUGAACAAUCUCAGUGUCGUUCAUUGAGGCUUUCUGAUAGCUUGAUGGCAGCAAAGGUGUAUCUUCUCCAUGUACUAGCUUUUAAA